UACGGGGGGAGCAAGCGUUGUUCGGAUUUACUGGGCGUAAAGGGCGCGUAGGCGGCCACCGCAAGUCGACUGUGAAAUCUCCGGGCUUAACCCGGAACGGUCAGCCGAUACUGCGGGGCUAGAGUGCAGAAGGGGCAACUGGAAUUCCUGGUGUAGCGGUGAAAUGACGCAGAUAUCAGGAGGAACACCGGUGGCGAAGGCGGGUCUCUGGGCCGUAACUGACGCUGAGGAGCGAAAGCGUGGGGGAGCAAACAGG
rnacentral:rRNA from 1 species